CUACGGGAGGCAGCAGUAGGGAAUCUUCCGCAAUGGGCGAAAGCCUGACGGAGCAACGCCGCGUGAGUGAUGAAGGUCUUCGGAUCGUAAAACUCUGUUAUUAGGGAAGAACAAAUGUGUAAGUAACUAUGCACGUCUUGACGGUACCUAAUCAGAAAGCCACGGCUAACUACGUGCCAGCAGCCGCGGUAAUACGUAGGAGGCAAGCGUUAUCCGGAAUUAUUGGGCGUAAAGCGCGCGUAGGCGGUUUUUUAAGUCUGAUGUGAAAGCCCACGGCUCAACCGUGGAGGGUCAUUGGAAACUGGAAAACUUGAGUGCAGAAGAGGAAAGUGGAAUUCCAUGUGUAGCGGUGAAAUGCGCAGAGAUAUGGAGGAACACCAGUGGCGAAGGCGACUUUCUGGUAUGUAACUGACGCUGAUGUGCGAAAGCGUGGGGAUCAAACAGGAUUAGAUACCCUGGUAGCCCACGCCGUAAACGAUGAGUGCUAAGUGUUAGGGGGUUUCCGCCCCUUAGUGCUGCAGCUAACGCAUUAAGCACUCCGCCUGGGGAGUACGACCGCAAGGUUGAAACUCAAAGGAAUUGACG
rnacentral:rRNA from 1 species